AAAAUAAUACAAACGGCGUAAAACACGACUAAAAAACAGUCACACGUUAGAAAAGAAAACAAAACUAGGCUGUAAAAAGCCAUAAGCUUCAAUAACCCAUCUAACAGCAAACAAAUUCCACUCGUGAAAGUCAGGAUACAAACUAAGAUUAGAUACCUUACUAUGCCUAACCGUAACAUAACAAUUAAAUCACCAAUUGUUCGCCAAAUAACUACGAGUAAAAACUUAAAAUUUAAAAGACUUGACGGUACCUCACAACAGCCUAGAGGAGCCUGUCCAUAACCGAUACCCCCCGAUUAACCCAACCCCUCCUAGCCCAAACAGUCUAUAUACCGCCGUCGCCAGCCUACCUUAUGAAAGAAAAAAAGUAAGCAAAACAGCCUACACACUAACACGACAGGUCGAGGUGUAACUCAUGGUGGGGCCAAGAUGGGCUACACUUUCUAUUACAGAAAAUACGAACAGACUCUGAAAAGAGAAACUGAAGGCGGAUUUAGCAGUACACUGGGAACAAAAUACCUAGUCGAAACCAAUGCAAUGAGGUGCGUACACACCGCCCGUCAUCCCUGUUGACAAAACAAAUACAUCCAUAAA
rnacentral:rRNA from 1 species